rfam:Gossypium raimondii Chr06_contig_386, whole genome shotgun sequence.
GGGUGCGAUCAUACUAGCACUAAUGCAUUGAAUUCCAUUAAUAUUCUGUAGUUAAGUGUGCUUGGGUGAGUGUAGUACUAGGAUGGGUGACCUCCUUCCUGAGAAGUCAACAUUAUUUAAAUCU